rnacentral:rRNA from 1 species
UACGUAGGGUGCGAGCGUUGUCCGGAAUUAUUGGGCGUAAAGAGCUCGUAGGCGGCUUGUCGCGUCGGAUGUGAAAGCCCGGGGCUUAACUCCGGGUCUGCAUUCGAUACGGGCAGGCUAGAGUUCGGUAGGGGAGAUCGGAAUUCCUGAUGUAGCGGUGAAAUGCGCAGAUAUCAGGAGGAACACCGGUGGCGAAGGCGGAUCUCUGGGCCGAUACUGACGCUGAGGAGCGAAAGCGUGGGGAGCGAACAGG